AGAGUUUGAUCCUGGCUCAGGACGAACGCUGGCGGCGCGCCUAAUACAUGCAAGUCGAACGGGUUGCCUUCGGGCAGCCAGUGGCGGACGGGUGAGUAACACGUGGGUGACCUGCCCUGAAGUGGGGAAUAACGCUGCGAAAGCAGCGCUAAUACCGCAUACGCUUAGCGUUUCAGUACGCUAAGUAAAGCGCAUGCGCUUCAGGAGGGGCCUGCGGCCGAUUAGCUAGUCGGAGGGGUAACGGCCCACCGAGGCGACGAUCGGUAGCUGGUCUGAGAGGAUGAUCAGCCACACUGGGACUGAGACACGGCCCAGACUCCUACGGGAGGCAGCAGUAAGGAAUCUUCCACAAUGGGCGCAAGCCUGAUGGAGCGACGCCGCGUGCGCGAAGAAGCCCUUCGGGGUGUAAAGCGCUUUUCUCAGGGAUGAAUCAGUGACAGUACCUGAGGAAGAAGCCUCGGCUAACUACGUGCCAGCCGCCGCGGUAAUUC
rnacentral:rRNA from 1 species